rnacentral:misc_RNA from 1 species
UUUCCGUAGGUGAACCUGCGGAAGGAUCAUUACAGUGUUCUCUGCCCUCACGGGUAGAAACGCCCACCCUUGUAUAUUAUAUCUUUGUUGCUUUGGCAGGCCGCCCUCGGGCACCGGCUCCGGCUGGAUCGCGCCUGCCAGAGGAAACCCAAACUCUGAAUGUUAAUGUCGCCUGAGUACUAUCUAAUAGUUAAAACUUUCAACAACGGAUCUCUUGGUUCUG